AUGAACGCUGGCUACAGGCUUAACACAUGCAAGUCGAGGGGAAACGACGGGGAAGCUUGCUUCCCCGGGCGUCGACCGGCGCACGGGUGAGUAACGCGUAUCCAACCUGCCUCUGACUGAGGGAUAACCCGUCGAAAGUCGGCCUAAUACCUCAUGGUAUCGUCUGCGGGCAUCCAACGACGAUUAAAGAUUUCAUCGGUCAGGGAUGGGGAUGCGUCUGAUUAGCUUGUUGGCGGGGUAACGGCCCACCAAGGCUACGAUCAGUAGGGGUUCUGAGAGGAAGGUCCCCCACAUUGGAACUGAGACACGGUCCAAACUCCUACGGGAGGCAGCAGUGAGGAAUAGUGGUCAAUGGGCGAGAGCCUGAACCAGCCAAGUAGCGUGCAGGAAGACGGCCCUAUGGGUUGUAAACUGCUUUUAUGCGGGGAUAAAGUGAGGGACGUGUCCCUCAUUGCAGGUACCGCAUGAAUAAGGACCGGCUAAUUCCGUG
rnacentral:rRNA from 1 species